rnacentral:lncRNA from 1 species
AUGCAUGAGGUCAUGAGGUUUUUCCUUAUUUCUUGUUUUACUUUAGUUUCGAUAAUAUCCCUCAUUUUAAUGAGACUUUCAGUCUUUUGGAAGCCACCAGAAAAAAAAAUAUAUAUAUAUACAUAUGUAUUCUUAUCCAGAGUAAGAUAUAUAUAUCAAGUGAGGAUUGUUAUUGACUAACUAGUUAAAAUGCAAUUAAGUUUCUAUGCUUGCUAAUUAAUUAUAUUGAUCAAUAUCUCAUUAGCAGUUCCCACAGCAAGCAAGCACUCUUUUAGGAAGCAGAGUGGGGGAAGGGCAUAGAGUGAGCAUUAAACAGAUAAACAUCAAGACUUUGCCCAAGUAGAAUAGAUGAUCUCUCAACAGGCAGCUGAGAUGACCUAAGAGGAAAGGGCUUUUGUAAAAGGAAGAGUCAGGUCUUCCAAGAGUCUAGCCAUUACCUAGCUUCCUGACUGGGGCACCUAUUAAAGUAGUUGCCUCUGAAUAUUGCUUUAAAUUAUCUGGUAAAAGCUCAAGUUUCUUGGGGGUUAGGCUAUAUAAAUAUCCACAAAUAAGCAAAUAAAUAUAUAUCACAUAAUACGGAUUGUGUUCCUUUAAUCAAUUCUUUGAAUGUACGUCUUUAUGAAAUCUAAGGUGAAAAGAACUUGUAGAUUCAGUUAAGGAGUCCUAUUAACUGGGCGAGCCUGACCUUGACAUUGAGUGAUUGUCUUGAUGCCCUAAUUAGGUAAGCAAAAUUUUUUAAAUAGCACCUAAACUAGGACAGUUCCCACCUUAACUGACACAGCACUAUUAAAAAGGCAACAACAAGAAAAAUGAAUGGGCAGAGUAAUUGCCCAAACUUACAAUUAUGUUUUAAACAAAUGAGCCAUCAUGACUGAACGUGAUCCACUGGCCCUUCAAUAAGAUCUAGUCUCUAGACCAAUAAUCUGACCCACACCAGUCCGAGAUCAUCUGGUUAGCAUCUCAUAACUUCCUUCCGGCUUUCUGCAGAUUCUCUUCCUUUACCUGAGAACCUCACACUGCCCCUGUCCCUCCCCAGGGCCUCAGCUUGGCCCUGUUCAUCUGCACUGGUCACGCUUGGGUCCCUUCACAAUCUCCUGGAAGAUGAUCAUGAUUCAUUUCCAAGGUUUGGUGAGGUUAUUUCCACUUCCGUGCUAGGAAUUUCCUCAUCUUAAAUUCACACCAAUACUAAAAAGGAAACUCCAUUUUUGACAAUCAGCUUUCAAGGACAGCAUUGUUCUAGCAUCUCAUCACACUGGCAUUACUUUUCAAAAUAUUUAAUGUCAUCAUAUUGUUGACUUUUCCAGCAUUCAACAAAGGGACAGACAUACAUAUAUAACUGCCAAAGCUCACUUGUCCUUAAUUUAACGUUAUUUAUGAGUGAAAGAAUUAUUACGCUUUUGCACUAAUAAAUCUGACCUGGCAAUAGCACAGCACAUAUUAAUUAGACAAAGCACAAUAUUGAUUUAGAUAUUCUGCUCCUAACCACUUUUAUUUUCCCUGCUACUUUGUCAGCAUCUCAACUGUUUUGCUAGUCUAACUUCCAACACAACAGAUUGCUUUGUAGAACAGAAAAAAAGAUGCUACAAUGCAUUUAUUGCCAUUUAAGUAGCCCCUUUGUGAUUUUUAAAAAUUGAAUUCAAACAGCAAGACAAUAAUGAUAGCUCUCUUCUAACUGGCUUCAGGUGCAGCAUUUAUUUUAAACUUGAAUGUCCUUGUAUUCAACACAGUAAUCUGUUAUUUAAAGAAAAAAGUGGAAUUAUUACCCUGGUGGCUGUUUUAUUUGGACACCCUUUUUAAAGGAUAGUUUAUCUUGGGUAAUGCAGAUACACCCAGCGGAAGUAGUCUGAAGCCAAACUCCUGUAUCCUAAGGAAAUCACAGACCGAACAUUUAAUUUCAGGACUGGAUCCUAAAGUCAUUGGCGGGUUUCAUCUUCCAGCCCCUCCCAAGCAGAAGUGUUUAGUGAAAACUCCUCUAUAAUUAUGAGCCACUUUAAAAGGCUGAUAUUCAAAUACUUGGAGAAUGACUGAGCCGGCCUAAGUGUUUUCUACUGUGCACACAGGAGCUCAGGGUGUUCAAUCAUUUUCUUCUCCAGUGUUCUUCUUCCAUCAGGACCGGAAAUCAUUCAUACUCACUCUUUCAGGCUUAGACACGUGUCCCAGGUACACAUUGGGAUAGUGAUUUUUGCCUUCUUAUAAUAUCCUCUCCUUAACUCCUUACCUUUCAAACCCCAAGGAAGCAUCAAUGCCCUUAUUCCUCUUCUAGAUAAUAUGACUAGAAGACAAGUGGCAUUCCAUUUUAUAUGAUAAUUCAGAAAUACCCUCUCCAUAUGUAAGGGCUAUUAUGAAAAAUCAUACUUGAACUUUCUGUGAGUUGCUUCAGCGAAAAGAUUACACUUUAUGAAAAUGCAAAGGGCAAGUUCUCAUAGCAAUAUUAGGGUGAAUACACUCUAUCACAUUAGAGGCUCUUUUUAGUACACUAAUUAGUGUUGAAAAUCUUAUUACAUGUGCAACGUGGGCGAGUUCACAUUGCUAAGGGAAAUUUAGCAAUCAUGCUUUCUGGACUUGCUUGGUUUGACAUAAAGCAAAAUUAAUACAGAAUCAUACAAAUUCACUUGGAGUUAUUAGUUUAAGCUUUUACUUAACCAGUGGUUCCCAUUAGCUCUCCUAAGCUUCAGGGAGAUUCUCAAGGAGAGCUUUUUUUGUUUUCUCUGGAUUUCUUUCUUUCUUUGUCUUUUUAGGGUUGCACCUGGGGCAGAUGGAGGUUCCCAGGCUGAGGGUCAAAUCAGAGCUACAGCUGCUGGCCUACACCACAGCUACAGCAACAACAGAUCCGAGCCAUGUCUUCGACCUACACCACAACUCAUGGCAACGGCAACGCUAGAUCCUUAACCCACUGAGCAAGGCCAGGGAUCGAACCUGCAACCUCAUGGUUCCUAGGCGUAUUCGCUUUUGCUGCACCAUGACGGGAACUCUGAGAUCAUCUAUGUUGAAAUGUUGGGAAAUAUUGUUGGAAUAGCUGCAAUAUGAGAUCACUAUCUAUAUGCCCAAAUCAUAAGCUUAGCUAGAUUUUUUGAAAGAUUAGAUUUGCUUGUUUCCUUAAGGAAAUGAAUUCAUAAAAAAGUGCUAUUCAGGAUAAGGAAAUAGAUUUUAUAGUUGGAAAAGUUGGCCGGGGGAUUGCAACAACCUGGCUAUGCAUUGCUUUAUUUGUUAACAAAUUUUUCCCUGGAUGUUUCAUGCACAGAUCCUACUUCCUCUCAACAUAGUUUGUAAUUAUUUCAAGGACAGAGUCUUCAAAUUUCCCAUGAUACCCAGCCUAAUAAAAUAAGUGCUUGCU